GGGAAUCCUCCACAAUGGGCGAAAGCCUGAUGGAGCAACGCCGCGUGAAUGAAGAAGGCCUUCGGGUUGUAAAAUUCUGUUAUAAGGGAAGAAAGGUGAUAGGAGGAAAUGACUAUCAAUUGACGGUACCUUAUGAGAAAGCCACGGCUAACUACGUGCCAGCAGCCGCGGUAAUACGUAGGUGGCAAGCGUUAUCCGGAUUUAUUGGGCGUAAAGGGAACGCAGGCGGUCUUUUAAGUCUGAUGUGAAAGCCCACGGCUUAACCGUGGAGGGUCAUUGGAAACUGGUUGACUUGAGUGCAGAAGAGGGAAGUGGAAUUCCAUGUGUAGCGGUGAAAUGCGUAGAGAUAUGGAGGAACACCAGUGGCGAAGGCGGCUUCCUGGUCUGCAACUGACACUGAGGCGCGAAAGCGUGGGGAGCA
rnacentral:rRNA from 1 species